rnacentral:rRNA from 1 species
UACGUAGGGUGCGAGCGUUAAUCGGAAUUACUGGGCGUAAAGCGUGCGCAGGCGGUUUUGUAAGCCAGAUGUGAAAUCCCCGGGCUUAACCUGGGAAUGGCAUUUGGGACUGCAAGGCUUGAGUGCGGCAGAGGAGACUGGAAUUCCUGGUGUAGCAGUGAAAUGCGUAGAUAUCAGGAGGAACACCGAUGGCGAAGGCAGGUCUCUGGGCUGUCACUGACGCUCAUGCACGAAAGCGUGGGGAGCAAACGGG